UCCCCAUCCCAUUCUCCUAUCUUUGUCAUUUAUGUUUGUGUAAUGCUUAAAAUUUUAAGUUCACCAGUGGCCGUAUUCAUGACACCUGAAAUCUAGGACGACCAGUCAUGGACGUGUGGGCGCGACUGCCGCUGUGUACAGCGCAGCCAUCCUGGAGUACCUCACCGCAGAGGUACUUGAACUGGCAGGAAAUGCAUCAAAAGACUUAAAGGUAAAGCGUAUUACCCCUCGUCACUUGCAACUUGCUAUUCGUGGAGAUGAAGAAUUGGAUUCGCUCAUCAAGGCUACAAUUGCUGGUGGUGGUGUCAUUCCACACCUCCACAAAUCUCUGAUUGGGAAGAAAGGACAACAGAAGACUGUCUAAAGGAUGCCUGGAUUCCUUGUUAUCUCAGGACUCUAAAUACUCUAACAGCUGUCCAGUGUUGGUGAUUCCAGUGGACUGUAUCUCUGUGAAAAACACAAUUUUGCCUUUUUGUAAUUCUAUUUGAGCAAGUUGGAAGUUUAAUUAGCUUUCCAACCAACCAAAUUUCUGCAUUCGAGUCUUAACCAUAUUUAAGUGUUACUGUGGCUUCAAAGAAGCUAUUGAUUCUGAAGUAGUGGGUUUUGAUUGAGUUGACUGUUUUUAAAAAACUGUUUGGAUUUUAAUUGUGAUGCAGAAGUUAUAGUAACAAACAUUUGGUUUUGUACAGACAUUAUUUCCACUCUGGUGGAUAAGCUCAAUAAAGGUCAUAUCCCAAACUA